AGCAGUCGCCGCGGUAAUACGUAGGUGGCGAGCGUUGUCCGGAUUUAUUGGGCGUAAAGGGAGUGUAGGCGGUCUUUUAAGUCUGAUGUGAAAGCCCACGGCUCAACCGUGGAGGGUCAUUGGAAACUGGGAGACUUGAGUGCAGAAGAGGAGAGCGGAAUUCCAUGUGUAGCGGUGAAAUGCGCAGAUAUAUGGAGGAACACCAGUGGCGAGGGCGGCUCUCUGGUCUGUAACUGACGCUGAGGCUCGAAAGCGUGGGGAGCAAACAGGAUUAGAUACCCCUGUAGUCCCUGUCUCUUAUAC
rnacentral:rRNA from 1 species